rnacentral:misc_RNA from 1 species
UUUCCGUAGGUGAACCUGCGGAAGGAUCAUUCAUAAUGAAGUGUUUUAUGGCACUUUUUAAAAAUCCAUAUCCACCUUGUGUGCAAUGUUAGAUCUCGUCAAUCUUGGCGAGAUUUUUAUAUAUCAACUCAUUCUUUAACUAAUUUGUCUGAAAAAUAUUAUGAAUACUUAAUUCAAAAUACAACUUUCAACAACGGAUCUCUUGGCUCUC